GAAAAAUCUUUGAUAAGUGUAUCAACUGAAUUGACCAUUCAGGCUUCCUUAGCUGAACCAGUACAAAGUAUUUUUGAAAGAAUGUUAAAAGGACCUGCCACACAAAAAUCCAAUCUUCUGCUAC
rnacentral:lncRNA from 1 species